GGCUCAGGACGAACGCUGGCGGCAUGCCUAAUACAUGCAAGUCGAGCGGASUUGAURRGAAGCUUGCUUCYYUGAUASUUAGCGGCGGACGGGUGAGUAACACGUAGGCAACCUGCCCUCAAGUUUGGGACAACUACCGGAAACGGUAGCUAAUACCGAAUAAUUGUUUUCUUCGCCUGAAGRRAACUGGAAAGACGGAGCAAUCUGUCACUUGGGGAUGGGCCUGCGGCGCAUUAGCUAGUUGGUGRGGUAACGGCUCACCAAGGCGACGAUGCGUAGCCGACCUGAGAGGGUGAUCGGCCACACUGGGACUGAGACACGGCCCAGACUCCUACGGGAGGCAGCAGUAGGGAAUCUUCCGCAAUGGGCGAAAGCCUGACGGAGCAAUGCCGCGUGAGUGAUGAAGGUUUUCGGAUCGUAAAGCUCUGUUGCCAGGGAAGAACGCUUGGGAGAGUAACUGCU
rnacentral:rRNA from 1 species